rnacentral:rRNA from 1 species
UACGUAGGGUGCAAGCGUUGUCCGGAAUUAUUGGGCGUAAAGAGCUCGUAGGCGGUUUGUUGCGUCGGCUGUGAAAUCCCGAGGCUCAACCUCGGGUCUGCAGUCGAUACGAGCAAACUAGAGUGUUGCAGGGGAGACUGGAAUUCCUGGUGUAGCGGUGAAAGUGCGCAGAUAUCAGGAAGAACACCCGUGGCGAAGGCGGCUCUCUGGGACGGUACUGACGCUGAGACGCGAAAGCGUGGGGAGCGAACAGG